rnacentral:rRNA from 1 species
GACGAACGCUGGCGGCGUGCUUAACACAUGCCAGUCGAACGGAAAGGCCCUGCUUUUGUGGGGUGCUCGAGUGGCGAACGGGUGAGUGACACGUGAGUAACCUGCCCUUGACUUUGGGAUAACUUCAGGAAACUGGGGCGAAUACCGGAUAGGAGCUCCUGCUGCAUGGGGGGGGUUGGAAAGUUUCGGCGGUUGGGGAUGGACUCGCGGCUUAUCAGCUGGUUGGUGGGGUAGUGGCUGCCCAAGGCUGUGACGGGUAGGCGGCAUGAGAGGGUGACCGGCCACCUUGGGACUACGAGACGGCCCAGACUGCUACGGGAGGCAGCGGUCGGGAAUAUUGCGCAACGGCCGGACGCCUGAUGUAACAACGCCGCGUGCGGGAUGCCGUCUUUCGGGUUGUAAACCGCUUUCGACUGUGCCGAAGCGUGAGUGACGGUAAUGGGUAAAGAAGCACCGGCUAACUACGUG